AUUUCCGUUGAUCCUGCGGAAGAUUGCUGCUAUUAGGAUUCGAUUUAGCCAUGCAAGUUUAUCUCGCAAGAGAGGCAAACUGCUCAGUAACACGUUGAUAAUCUGCCAUUAGGUUCAGGAUAACCUUGGGAAACUGAGGGUAAUACUGAAUAGAAGAAUAUAUCUGGAAUGAUUUUUCUUUUAAAGCUCCGGCGCCUAAUGAUGAGUCAGCGGCGGAUUAGGUUGUUGGUGAGGUAAUGGCUCACCAAGCCGAAGAUCCGUAAGGGCCUUGAAAGAGGGAGCCCUGAGAAGGACACUUAGACACUGGUCCUAGCCCUACGGGGUGCAGCAGGCGCGAAAACUCUACAAUGCACGAAAGUGUGAUAGGGGAAUCCUAAGUGCUUUGCAUUCGCAAGGCUUUUGCCAAGAGUAAAUAUCUUGGAGAAUAAGUGGUGGGUCAGACGGGUGCCAGCCGCCGCGGUAACACCUGCGCCACAAGUGGGAAUCAUCUUUAUUUGGCCUAAAGCGUCCGUAGCCGGUUAGAUAAAUCUUCUAUUAAAUCAUAGAACUCAAUUUUAUGCAGGUAGAAGACACUGUUUAACUCGGGACCGGGAAGAGCUAGAAGUAUUUGUGGGGGAGCGGUAAAAUGCUAUAAUCCUACAAAGACUACCAGUGGCGAAGGCGUCUAGCUAGAACGGAUCCGACGGUGAGGGACGAAAGCUAGGGUAGCGAUCCGGAUUAGAUAUCAGAAAUUCUGCGAAUUUAUGAGUUUAGUCAAAAAUUCUCUUCGAUCGCAAGGUUUUUUUACUGAAGAGAGAAACAUGAUUAGACUAGCAUCAGAAUUUUUGACUAAUUACCCGAGUAGUCCUAGCUGUAAACGCUGCGAGCAAGGUGUUGCAUAAUCCUGUGAUUAUGCAGUGUCGAAACGAAGGUGUUAAGCUCGCCGCCUGGGAAGUAUGGUCGCAAGACUGAAACUUAAAGGAAUUGGCGGGGGAGCACUACAAGGGGUGCGGCGUGCGGUUUAAUCUAAUUCAACGCAGAGAAUCUCACCAGAGGCGACGGCAGAGUGAAGGUCAAGCUGAAGACUUUACCUGACGAGCCGAGAGGUAGUGCAUGGCCGUCGUCAGCUCGUGCCGUGAGGUGUCCUGUUAAGUCAGGCAACGAGCGAGACCUGCACCUAUAAUUGCUAACAACCUAUUCUUAGGAAUUGAGCACAUUAUAGGGACUGCCCUGGAAACAGGGAGGAAGGUGCAGGCUACGAUAGGUCUGUAUGCUCCGAAUCUACUGGGCUACACGCGCGCAACAAUGGUACGGACAAUGGGACACAACUCCGAAAGGAGAAGUUAAUCCUCGAAACCGUACCCUAGUACAGAUUGAGGGUUGCAACUCACCCUCAUGACGAUGGAAUCCCUAGUAAUCGGACGUCAUCAUCGUCCGGUGAAUAUGUCCCUGCUCCUUGCACACACCGCCCGUCAAACCAACCGAGCCGGGUUUAGAUGAGUAUUAGUUUAUUGAUUGAUCCGAAUCUAAACUCAGUGAGGUGGGUUAAGUCGUCACAAGGUAGCCGUAGGGGAACCUGCGGCUGGAUCACCUCCA
rnacentral:rRNA from 1 species